UACUCCUGCUCGCAUCUGCUAUAGUGGAGGCA
rnacentral:piRNA from 1 species